AUUGAACGCUGGCGGCAGGCCUAACACAUGCAAGUCGAACGAGUGGCGGACGGGUGAGUAAUGUCUGGGAAACUGCCUGAUGGAGGGGGAUAACUCCUGGAAACGGUAGCUAAUACCGCAUACCAUCAGCUGUGCCCAGCGUGGAGUAGCUUGUUGGUGGGUUGACUGCUAACCAGGGCGACGAGCCCUAGCUGGUCUGAGAGGAUGACCAGCCACACGGGACCUGAGACACGGUCCAGACUCCUACGGGCGGCAGCAGUGGGGAAUCUUGCACAAUGGGCGCAAGCCUGAUGCAGCCAGGCCGCGUGUAUGAGGAAGGCCUUCGGAUCGUAAAGUACUUUCAGCGGGGAGGCGGUACCCGCAGAAGAAGCACCGGCUAACUCCGUGCCAGCAGCCGCGGUAAUAC
rnacentral:rRNA from 1 species